GAUUCGUCUGAGCUGAUUACGGUGGGAGACCCCCCCCAUGCGGCUAAUGUCACCACCUCCAGUUCAGAAAAUGCUUCUCAGACGGGUGGCACACGCCUGUCACCCCGCACUCCAGGAGGCUGAGGCAGGAGGACCCCUGCGGAGGCUAGCCCAGCUUGAGUAACUGAGCGACUUAGCAAGCCCAUGUGUCCAAAUAAAAAAAUAAAAAGGGCUCAGGGCAGAGCUCGGCGCAAAGGCCCUGGGUGCCGUCCCAGUGCCACAAAAAUAAAAACGUAAUAAAUAAGCAAGUGUGAAAAUGCAUCCUGCAGCGGGGAUCUUUACGCAGACCAGCGGCUCACACACGAUGACGUGUUUUAGUAUCUCCGGAGUGCCCGGGCUUCCCCAGUACAGGAAGGAGAAAGAACGGAACCACGAGGUAAAGGAAAGGAAAUCAGCAGGAACGGCCUCAGGUAUGGCUGUUCAAUUUGAUCCACCGGGUGGAGGUGGAACAGACGGGCAGGGAGCUCAUAACGGGGUUCAGGGUGUGCAGGAGCCAGGCUGGACCCCCAGGCUCCGCAUCCGCCCUUUAGUUCUCGGGACUCCCACGCCAGGCCGGGGGUUCCUGGCCUCCAGGGGUCUCCAAGCCCGGGCCCCCGCAGGGACCCCAAAUCCCAGCCUGGGACCCCAAAACUGUGACUGCAGCCCUGUCUCAGGAAGAAAGCCGGUCUGUGAUUUCGGGGUGGGGGGGCGGGUUAAUCAUUUCCGAGCAGGCAGACGGCGAGGAAGAAGACCCCAGGACGCGGGGCUCCCGGUGCGGCCUCCCCGGCAAAAUGCAAACUCGGGCAAUUUCUCCUCCGAGACCAAGCGACCCUUUGUUGUUGUUGUUUUUCCCCCUGAAGUUCGCCAACAGGAGCACGAUUUCUGCAAAACCCGAAGUGCAAACAAAGAGCUAAAAACAGACAGACAACAGGACAGAGAAAGCUAAAAAAGCCUGGCCCGGGGCUGCACGCGGGCCUGAAAGCGAAGCACUCUGGGAGGCUGAGGCCGGAGAGUCGAACACAAGUCCCCAACCUGGGCGACUGAGCCGUUUAGCCGGAUCUGCUCUCAGAAUAAACAAAAAGAGGCUGGAGACAUAGCGCACCGCGCGAGCCCUGGGUUCAACCCUGAGUACUACAAAAACGAACAAAAAUAAACAGAAACUGAAAGACGCUGUGGAAAGAAACAAGAAAAAAUCAUUCUGCUCUCUGCGGGACGUGCGGGGAAGGAGCAGGGGGGUUCCCCGUCCUCGGACUUUUCCGGUGUUUACCCAAUUAUCUAUGGCAACGGCGGGAAAGCUCGAUCCCCUCCCCCCACCCCGAGCGCGCCCGGGACUGCGCGCUACAAAGUAUCUUUCCAGAUACAAAGUAUCUUUGCACGUACAAAGUAUCUUUCGCGCUCCGCAGGCCUUGCAGUUUCCCAGCCUUCCAGCCCCGGCGAGCUACAAAGUAUCUUUCUCGGCCGCGCAGGCCUGGAAGUUUCCCCAGGGAUCCCACCCCUUCAGCUUAGGCCUUUAACCCCCCGGGGACGACUCCAAAUUUAGGCCCGAGACUCAGGGCGUGGCUCGGGGCCCCGGGCGCCCCGGGCAACAAUGGCGCGCGCGGGUCCCCAAACCCAGCCUGGGGAGCGCGCCAGAGUUGGCGGCGACGGAAAACGGGUCCGAGAGAGGAGGGGAUCGGAGGCCGGCGCCGAGCCCAGAGCUCCCCCAGAAGGGCUUGGAGCGCAGGAAAAACGCGCCGACAUGUCGCACCGGGAAUGGAUCCAGACCGUGGCCGGGACGCAGUUGGCUUGGGUACGACAUUCCCGCCCCUCCUCCCCGUUAGAUCUGGGCGCGGAAUCCCGGGAAGGGCCCGGGGGCCCAGCGUGCGCCCCUCUUCAGAGUCUGGGAUCCCCGGCCGCGAGCCCCUCCCCGGGGUCUGGGGGCCCCGCCCGCGCGCCCCCCCCCAGUCUACCCCCACCUCUAGCGCUCACCGUCCUGCGUGCGCACCAGGGCUCCUAGGAGACCCGCGAAGAGCAGCGCGAGGGCGGCCCGGCGCGCCAUGGUGGCCCGGGCCGGGGAGGGUGGGUCUGUCGGGUUGGUCCAGUGAGCCCUGCACCCGGGCGGCGGCGGCCAAGAGGGAGGGCGGGAGGGAGCUGAGAGGGAGGAGCACGAGGAUCCCCACUCCACACCCCUGGGGGGGGCGGCACAGCCUUGGGCACGGCCUUCGGUGCUGCCUGCUUUCGCGGCCCUGCUGAGACCGCCCCGCCUCGGCCUCGGAGCGCUCGGAACGCAAGGGUCGCAGGGGCCGCGGGUCUCCCUCCAGGUGGGAGCGCCGACACCCUCCUUCUUUGGGAAGUUUCUUAGUCCUUCCUCGCUCCCAAGAGGGACCCAGAGGCCAAUAAAGCCCUGUCCAUGGUUUUUCUCAUUCGGUCCCCAAAAGGAUGCCCUAGCCCCGAAGCACCCCGUUUGCAGCGAGGUGCGCCCGCCUCCUUCUUCGGGAAGUGAGCCCCUCCCGUGUGUCCGAGCUGCCCUCCCCGCUGGCCCGGAGGAACCGGGACCCCCCGACUGUCCCCCACUUCCAGCUAAUGAAACCCCAGCUUGGAGGAAGGGGCGGCCCCCCCCCGCCCCAGGCUCUCUGGGGUCCCCGAGCUGAGAGUUUGCAGAAAGGGCUGGGGGAUUUGGUCCCCCCCCCCCCCCCGGUUCUUCGCAAAACCAAAGCGCCGCCCCGGAGAGGCCGCUUGGAGGGGAAAUGCGGGCUGAGAAAUUUCCCUGAGUCACCCAGCUCUCAGUCCUGUAGUCUUUUAGCCAAUUCCUACGCUGCAGGUGUCCUGGGCUGCUCCCUGCCGCCUGCAGCUGCUGGCUCCCGUCUCCCGUCUGCCCCGCCCACCUGCGUCCCUGGGUCACAGUCUUGGGGAGCCAUGAAGGGUGUUGGGCCACAGACAACAGGAGGACUUCUGAGAUCCUUGUGGGGCAAGCAGAUGCUGGAGCUCUGGCAGCCAGUUUGGCACCAUGAGGUAAAUAAGCUAAGGCAGCCUCAUGGCGGAUGUCUGUAGAUGAAAGACAACGGGAGGCUCACACCCACCUCAAACGCCAAAGAUCUUUCCUGUGACCUCUCCAGUUCUUUUACUUUCCCUUCCAGAGAAAGGCUGUACUCGGCCAGUGUACGGUGUCCCUUACAGCAUCUUUCCCCACUCUCCACUCUGUUCCAGAAGUCUGGAGCCUGGGAUCUGGCACCUUCUCUCCCUGAGUUCACAGGCUGCUGCCCUCAGCUGUAUUAAAAACACAUUCCUGCUGUGCAAACGCCAGCUCCCUGACGCUCUUAUUUCUGUUCACAGAGAGGCACUGUGAAGCCACCUAAGGCCAACCCAUUCACACCUGCCUUUGGCUUUCUCUUUUUCUUAAGUGCAUAGGCUUCCUCAGCUCGAAAACAAAGCAGCACCCUCCAGUGCUGCAGACAUGGUUUAAUGAGUGUCCAGGGGCUCCGGUUUCUAUCGAGAGCCAUUCCGUAUAAUUGAGGGGGGGAAACAUUUCAUAAUUAAAUUGUGCACAGGGCUCGUCUGAAGCUGCUUUCUUGCCUGCCAGCCUGCCAUGGUACUGGCAUCACUGCCGCCCUGAGUCCCCCAUGUCCCUCCGAUUUCUGUGUGCAUCCGAUAAAUAGUGGCCAGCUCGGGGUGACUUUGGAUCUGCCCGCUCUGGCAUUGACCUCCCGGCCCGCCACGUACUUUGAAAGUGCAUCUCUUUGUCUCAUUUUAUCCCUCCCCGUGCCCCUCUCCAGGCAGACUGGAGAACUGAACGGCCUCCAGUACACUUCCAGAAGGAAAAUUAAAUGAAUUGAAGAAGCUGUUUGAAUUGCAAUUCCACCACCAUGGGCCCAGCCAUUGGUUCUGCUGAUUCUUAUGUGCUUGGCAGUUGUUGAUCUCUCUGUCAUCUAUCCAUUCAUCCAUCCACACAUCCAUUAUUUAUUCACCCACCCACCCAUCCACCCAGCCAUCCAUCCACCUAGCCACCCAUCCAUCCAUCCAUCCACCCAUGUAACUACCCACCCGUCCGUCCACCCAGUCACCCGGUCACCCAUCCACCCACCCAUCAACCCAUCCAUCCAUCCAUCCGUCCAUCCAUUCACCCAUCCAUCCACCCAUCCAUCCAUCCAUCCGUCCAUCCAUCCACCCAUCUACCCAUCCAUCCACCCAUCCACCCAUCCAUCCAUCCAUCUACCCAUCCAUCCAUCCAUCCAUCUACCCACCCAUCUGUCCACCUACCUAUGCAUCCAAACAUCCAUUUAUUCACCCAUUCAUUCUUCCACCCAUCCAUCCUUCUACCCAUCCAUCCUUCCAUCCAUCCACCAUCUCUCAUGUAUGGAUGAGACUACAAGUUUCCAGUCCUAUAUCCUUCCUCCUCUUUCCAUAGGAAGGGACCUUGGUUUUAUUGAUGAUGACAGUGUGCCCAUUAAAAGACGCUUUCUCAGGCCAGGGAUUUAGCUCAGUGGUUCAGCCACCUGCCAUGCAAGCACAAGGUCCUGAGUUCGAUUCCUGGUACCAAAAAUUUUUUUUAAAAAUUGAAAAAGACUCUCAGUAUCCCUUCAAGCUACUUUUGACCAGAAAAUUUAAGUUCUAGUCAAUAAAAUAAAGGUAAACAAAAGCUAUUGGGUAAAAGAUCUGAAAAGUUUCUUUAAAAGGAGAUAGAGAUAACCAACAAAAGUCACUUCUAGGCUUCUCAGCUUCAUUCUUUGCCCAUCUGGAAUAGUGGUGCAAUGGCUGGAGUCCCAGCAGCUGCUCUGGAGCAGGAGGUUACCUAAGGAAUAGAAGCCACACACUUCGUGAUAGCAGAGUAUGUACAGCAAAGGAGUCAGGGUGGCUGCUGGCAUUGCAGAGCACCUAUACCUAAACCAGACUGAUCCUCUCCUGACUUCUUGAAUGGAGCAGAGAGGUGAGCUUCCAUUCUACCCUUCUGUAGAUUCAAGUUUGUUUCAGUCUCAUGUAAAUUACUGGUCUCCAUUUCCAAAGGUUGAGCCAAAUUUAUAGUGGAAACUUACUGUCAGGUUUUCCUGGGAAGCCAAAGCAGUGAAGAGCUAUCUUAGUUCCACAAGUGAUGCCUGCUGUGCCAGUGUUCAAGAGAUGUUUGCUUAAUCAGUGGAAGAGUGGAUGGGGGUGGACUGGUGGGUUGGUGGGUGAAUGUAUGGAUGGAUGGAUGGGUGGAUGCAUGGGUGGG
rnacentral:lncRNA from 1 species